GAUGAACGCUGGCGGCGUGCCUAAUACAUGCAAGUCGAGCGAACAGACGAGGAGCUUGCUCCUCUGACGUUAGCGGCGGACGGGUGAGUAACACGUGGAUAACCUACCUAUAAGACUGGGAUAACUUCGGGAAACCGGAGCUAAUACCGGAUAAUAUAUUGAACCGCAUGGUUCAAUAGUGAAAGACGGUUUUCCUGUCACUUAUAGAUGGAUCCGCGCCGCAUUAGCUAGUUGGUAAGGUAACGGCUUACCAAGGCGACGAUGCGUAGCCGACCUGAGAGGGUGAUCGGCCACACUGGAACUGAGACACGGUCCAGACUCCUACGGGAGGCAGCAGUAGGGAAUCUUCCGCAAUGGGCGAAAGCCUGACGGAGCAACGCCGCGUGAGUGAUGAAGGUCUUCGGAUCGUAAAACUCUGUUAUUAGGGAAGAACAAAUGUGUAAGUAACUAUGCACGUCUUGACGGUACCUAAUCAGAAAGCCACGGCUAACUACGUG
rnacentral:rRNA from 1 species